AAUCAACGCUGGCGGCGUGCCUAACACAUGCAAGUCGAGCGAGAAAGGGGACUUCGGUCCCUGAGUACAGCGGCGCACGGGUGAGUAACGCGUGGGUGAUCAACCUUCGAGUGGGGAAUAACAGCGGGAAACUGCUGCUAAUUCCGCAUGACGUUCACAGACUUCGGUCUGUGGACCAAAGCCGGGGACCUUCGGGCCUGGCGCUUGAAGACGAGCCCGCGUCCGAUUAGUUAGUUGGUGGGGUAAUGGCCUACCAAGACUUCGAUCGGUAGCCGGCCUGAGAGGGCGGACGGCCACACUGGAACUGAGACACGGUCCAGACUCCUACGGGAGGCAGCAGUGGGGAAUUUUUCGCAAUGGGGGAAACCCUGACGAAGCAACGCCGCGUGAAGGAUGAAGGCCUUCGGGUCGUAAACUUCUGUCAACCGGGAAGAAACCGUCCAGUCGAAUAGACUGUGGCGUUGACUGUACCGGUGGAGGAAGCUCCGGCUAACUCUGUGCCAGCCGCCGCGGUAAUU
rnacentral:rRNA from 1 species